rnacentral:lncRNA from 1 species
AUGGUAUGCAGGCACAGAAUGCAGAUAUGAUGCAGAUGAUGCGUCAAAUGCAACAGCAACAGGAUGCUCGGAAUGCCAUAACCGACCAGCGGUUUACUGAGUUGUUUAGCAGAUUCGACAGCUUAGACAUACGUCAAAGAUCACCAGGACCAAGAACCAGAGGUGGAAGGCAGCCUUAGUUGUAUUUUUCUUUUCAUCUCCAUUUUGUAUUUCUUUCCCUUAAAACAUCGAGGACAAUGUUUAGUUCAAGUAUGGGGGGGAAACAUUAUUCUUUCCAUUCUCAUCUUUGUUUCAAGUAUGUACUCUCCCUUUUCAUUGUUAUUUCCCUAUAAAAAAAAAAAAAAAAAAAAAAAAAAUAUUUUUUUAAGUUAAGUCCUGAAUGUGAAAAAUUUUCUAUUAUCUAUUUCCCUCAACUUUCUUGAGCCAUAACAAAAAUUUUAACACACCCAAUAAGUAUAAAGGUUGCUUACUUUAUAAAAUUUGAGUGAAAUCAAAACAAAAUCAUUACCAUAACAACGCUCUGAGAACCUCA